rnacentral:rRNA from 1 species
GACGAACGCUGGCGGCGUGCUUAACACAUGCAAGUCGAACGGAAAGGCCCUGCUUUUGUGGGGUGCUCGAGUGGCGAACGGGUGAGUAACACGUGAGUAACCUGCCCUUGACUUUGGGAUAACUUCAGGAAACUGGGGCUAAUACCGGAUAGGAGCUCCUGCUGCAUGGUGGGGGUUGGAAAGUUUCGGCGGUUGGGGAUGGACUCGCGGCUUAUCAGCUUGUUGGUGGGGUAGUGGCUUACCAAGGCUUUGACGGGUAGCCGGCCUGAGAGGGUGACGGGCCAGAUUGGGACUGAGAUACGGCCCAGACUCCUACGGGAGGCAGCAGUGGGGAAUAUUGCACAAUGGGCGGAAGCCUGAUGCAGCAACGCCGCGUGCGGGAUGACGGCCUUCGGGUUGUAAACCGCUUUCGCCUGUGACGAAGCGUGAGUGACGGUAAUGGGUAAAGAAGCACCGGCUAACUACGUG